rnacentral:rRNA from 1 species
GACGAACGCUGGCGGCGUGCUUAACACAUGCAAGUCGAACGGAAAGGCCCAGCUUGCUUGGUACUCGAGUGGCGAACGGGUGAGUAACACGUGGGUGAGCUGCCCCUGACGCUGGGAUAAGCCUGGCAAACUGUGGCUAAUAUCGCGUAUUCAUUUUUCCUCGCAAGGGGAUUUGUGGAAAGCUUUUGCGGUUGGGGAUGGGCCCGCGGCCUAUCAGCUUGUUGGUGGGGUAAUGGCCUACCAAGGCGAUGACGGGUAGCCGACCUGAGAGGGUGAUCGGCCACACUGGGACUGAGAGACGGCCCAGACUCCUACGGGAGGCAGCAGUGGGGAAUAUUGCACAAUGGGCGGAAGCCUGAUGCAGCGACGCCGCGUGCGGGAUGACGGCCUUCGGGUUGUAAACCUCUUUCAGCUCCGACGAAGCGAAAGUGACGGUAGUGGCAGAAGAAGCACCGGCCAACUACGUG